AUCAAAUGAAUUAAGGCCAAUGAUGGAGACCUAGGCACCCAAAGACGAUGAAGGGCGUAUAAACCGACGAAACGCUUCGGGGAGCUGGAAAAAAGCUUUGAUCCGAAGAUUCCCGAAUAGGGCAACCUCUUGUACCCCUCUACACAAAUUCAUAAUGAGAGGGGAGAUAACCUGGUGAAUUGAAACAUCUUAGUAGCCAGAGGAAAAGAAAGCAAACGCGAUUCCCUUAGUAGUGGCGAGCGAAACGGGAACAGCCUAAACUGAAUGUUUAGUUGUUAAAACUAAGUAUUUAGGGUUGUGGGAGGACAUUUUUCCACCGAUGUUGUAUUGGUGGAAUUUUUUUUCUAUUAAAAAAAUUUAAACGAAGCAGCUGAAUCCUGCACCAUAGACGGUGAAAGUCCGGUAGUUAAAAGAUUUUUAUUUGUGUUUAUCCCAAUUAGCAUGGGCCACGUGAAAUCCCGUGUGAAUCAACAAGGACCACCUUGUAAGGCUAAAUACUCUUGGGUGACCGAUAGCGAAAUAGUACAGUGAUGGAAUGGGUAAUAGAACCUCUGACGAGGAGUGAAAUAGAACAUGAAAUCGUUGGCUGACAAGCAGCGGGAGGAGUUUAGACUCUGACCACGUGCCUGUUGAAGAAUGAGCCGGCGACUUAUAGAAAGUGGCAAGGCUAAAAAGUACAUUUGGAGCCAUAGCGAAAGCAAGUCUGAAUAGGGCGAUGGUCACUUUUUAUGGACCCGAACCUCGAUGAUCUAUUCAUGACCAAGAUGAAACGUAGGUAAAACUACGCCGAGGUCUGAACCGACCGGUGUUGAAAAACCGGCGGAUGAGUUGUGAAUAGGGGAGAAAUUCCAAUCGAAUCGAGAGCUAGCUGGAUCUCCUCGAAAUUCGUUGAGGCGAAGCGCUAAUAAUGGGCAGUCGUGGGGUAGAGCACUGUUUCGGCGCGGGCUGCGAAAGCGGUACCAAGUCGUGGCAAACUCCGAAUACAUGAUUAUGCUUUCUAUUAAGCAGUGAGACUAGUCGAGAUAAGUUGAUUAGUCAAGAGGGAAACAGCCCAGAUCACCAGUUAAGGCCCCUAAAUGGUUGCUAAGUGAUAAAGGAUGUGGGGGUGCUGAAACAUGCAGGAUGUUAGCCUAGAAGUCGCGACCAUCUAAAGAAAGUGUAACAACUCACUGCCAAAAGCGCCCUUGCGCCGAUAAUACUCGGGACUAAGUAACCUGCCGAAGCUGUGGGAAUAGAAAAAUUUCUAUUCGGUAGAGGAGCGUACCGAUUUCAGGGUGAAGUCUUUAUGUAAAUAAGGAUGGACUGUUCGGUAGUGAGAAUGUCGGCUUGAGUAACGAAAACAUUGGUGAGAAUCCAAUGCCCCGAUAACCUAAGGUUUCCAUUGAGAUGUUCGUCUACAAUGGGUUAGUCAGGACCUAAGAUGAGGCUGAAAAGCGUAGUCGAUGGUAAUCAGGUUAAUAUUCCUGAACUGUUUGUAACAUUAUGAUCCCGAGGGACGAAGAAGGCUAAGCUGGGUCUAUAAUGGAUAAUAGUGUAAAUUGUUAAGGUGCUAAAAGAUAGAAUAAAAACUAUUCUUAAACUGAAACAUGAUACCACUCGAUAAAUCUCGGUUUAUUGGGUGCCAGUUAUGUCAUGCUUCCAAGAAAAGCUCGUACGAUUUCCGUUACAAUAACCUGUACCAUAAACCGACACAGGUGGGUGGGUAGAGAAUACCAAGGGGCGCGAGAGAACUCUCUCUAAGGAACUCGGCAAAUUAGCCCCGUAACUUCGGAAGAAGGGGUGCCACCAGAGAUGUCUGGUGGUCGCAGUGACCAGUGCCUGGCGACUGUUUACCAAAAACACAGGUCUCCGCAAAGUCGUAAGACAACGUAUGGGGGCUGACGCCUGCCCAGUGCCGGAAGGUCAAGGAAGUUGGUUAUUCUUUUAGAAAAAGCUAAUGACCGAAGCCCCGGUGAACGGCGGCCGUAACUAUAACGGUCCUAAGGUAGCGAAACUCAUUGUCAGGUAAGUUCUGACCCGCAUGAAAGGCGUAACGAUCAGGCAACUGUCUCAGAGAGAGACUCGGUGAAAUAGACUUAUCCGUGAAGAUGCGGAUUACUAAUGCCCGGACAGAAAGACCCUAUGAAGCUUCACUGUAUCUUGGUAUUGGGUUCGGGCUUUUCUUGCGCAGUAUAGGUGGGAGGCGUUGAAAGCUUUUUUUCGGGAAAGUUUGAGCCAACAUUGAGAUACCACUCUGGAAGAGCUAGAAUUCUAAUGGUGUUCCUUAUAUCAGGACGCUUGACAGUAUCAGGAAGGCAGUUUUCCUGGGGCGGGAACCUCCCAAAAGGUAACGGAGGUUUGCAAAGGUUCCCUCAGUCUGGACGGAAAUCAGGCAUUGAGUGCAAAGGCAUAAGGGAGCUUGACUGUAAGACCUACAAGUCGAGCAGGAGCGAAAGCUGGCCUUAGUGAUCCGACGGUUGCAAGUGGAAGCGCCGUCGCUUAAAGGAUAAAAGUUACUCUAGGGAUAACAGGCUAAUCCCCGCCUACCGUCCUAAGGGACGUGGGGGUUUGGCACCUCGAUGUCGGCUCGUCGCAUCCUGGGGCUGUAGUAGGUCCCAAGGGUUGGGCUGUUCGCCCACUAAGGCGGCACGUGAGCUGGGUUCAAAACGUUGUGAAACAGUUUGGUCCAUAUCCUGCAUUAGCGUUAGAGUAUUGAGAGGAUCCCUGGUUAGUACGAGAGGACCCAAGGGGACACACCAAUAGUAUACCAGUUCUUGUUCCAACAGGAAACGCUGGGUAGCCACGUGUGGAGUGGAUAAGCGCUGAAAGCAUAUAAGCGUCAAGCCCACCUCAAGAUGAGUACUCUUCAUUAGGCCGCGGUAAGAUAAGCCGUUUGAUAGGUAUUAGGUGUAAGGUCCGUGAGGACUUCAGCCGAGAUAUACUAAAGGCCGAUUAAUUUUGAUCUAAUAUUAUAAAUAACUAAUCUUUUU
rnacentral:rRNA from 1 species